rnacentral:rRNA from 1 species
AGUGGGGAAUCUUGCGCAAUGGGCGAAAGCCUGACGCAGCGACGCCGCGUGAGCGAGGAAGGCCUUCGGGUCGUAAAGCUCGAUAGUGUGGGAAGAAGGGAUGACGGUACCACACGAAAGCCCCGGCUAACUACGUGCCAGCAGCCGCGGUAAGACGUAGGGGGCGAGCGUUGUCCGGAAUUACUGGGCGUAAAGGGCGCGUAGGCGGCCGUUCAAGUCAGGUGUAAAAUACCCGGGCUCAACCCGGGGAUAGCACUUGAAACUGGGCGGCUAGAGGGCAGGAGAGGGGAGUGGAAUUCCCGGUGUAGUGGUGAAAUGCGUAGAUAUCGGGAGGAAUACCAGUGGCGAAGGCGACUCUCUGGACUGACCCUGACGCUGAGGCGCGAAAGCGUGGGGAGCAAACAGGAUUAGAUACCCUGGUAGUCCACGCCGUAAACGAUGGGUACUAGGUGUGGGAUGCGGAAGCAUUCUGUGCCGUAGUUAACGCAAUAAGUACCCCGCCUGGGGAGUACGGCCGCAAGGU